rnacentral:rRNA from 1 species
GUCGAGCGCAGGAAUCGACGGAACCCUUCGGGGGGAAGUCGACGGAAUGAGCGGCGGACGGGUGAGUAACACGUAAAGAACCUGCCCUCAGGUCUGGGAUAACCACGAGAAAUCGGGGCUAAUACCGGAUGGGUCAUCGGACCGCAUGGUCCGAGGAUGAAAGGCGCUUCGGCGUCGCCUGGGGAUGGCUUUGCGGUGCAUUAGCUAGUUGGUGGGGUAAUGGCCCACCAAGGCGACGAUGCAUAGCCGACCUGAGAGGGUGAUCGGCCACACUGGGACUGAGACACGGCCCAGACUCCUACGGGAGGCAGCAGUAGGGAAUCUUCCACAAUGGACGAAAGUCUGAUGGAGCAACGCCGCGUGAACGAUGAAGGCCUUCGGGUCGUAAAGUUCUGUUGUAAGGGAAGAACAAGUGCCGCAGGCAAUGGCGGCACCUUGACGGUACCUUGCGAGAAAGCCACGGCUAACUACGUGCCAGCAGCCGCGGUAAUACGUAGGUGGCAAGCGUUGUCCGGAAUUAUUGGGCGUAAAGCGCGCGCAGGCGGCCUCUUAAGUCUGAUGUGAAAGCCCCCGGCUCAACCGGGGAGGGCCAUUGGAAACUGGGAGGCU